UACGGAGGGUGCGAGCGUUGUCCGGAAUCAUUGGGCGUAAAGGGCGCGUAGGUGGCCCGGUCAGUCUUUGGUGAAAGCGCGGGGCUCAACCCUGCGUCGGCCAGGGAUACUGCCGCGGCUGGAGCACUGUAGAGGCAGGCGGAAUUCCGGGUGUAGCGGUGGAAUGCGUAGAGAUCCGGAAGAACACCGGUGGCGAAGGCGGCCUGCUGGGCAGUGCUGACACUGAGGCGCGAAAGCUAGGGGAGCAAACGGGAGUUAGA
rnacentral:rRNA from 1 species